AUCUGUUUGGAGUUGUGGUUAGUGCGCUCGGCUGUGGAUCCGGGCGACGCAGGGUUCGAUUCCCCCUACCAGAUG